rnacentral:rRNA from 1 species
AGCAGCCGCGGUAAUUCCAGCUCCAAUAGCGUAUAUUAAAGUUGUUGCAGUUAAAAAGCUCGUAGUUGAAUUUCGGGAUCAGUAGGUUGGUCGUGCCACUGGUAUGUACUGGUCUUACUGAUUCCUCCUUCUUGUGGAACUGUAAUGCCAUUAAUUUGGUGUUGCAGGAAAACAGGACUGUUACUUUGAAAAAUUAGAGUGUUUAAAGCAAGCUAACGCUUGAAUACAUUAGCAUGGAAUAAUGAAAUAGGACGUUUGAUCCUAUUUUGUUGGUUUCUAGGAUUGACGUAAUGAUUAAUAGGGAUAGUUGGAGGCAUUAGUAUUCAAUUGUCAGAGGUGAAAUUCUUGGAUUUAUUGAAGACUAACUACUGCGAAAGCAUUUGCCAAGGAUGUUUUCAUUAAUCAAGAACGAAAGUUAGGGGAUCGAAGACGAUCAGAUACCGUCGUAGUCUUAACCAUAAACUAUGCCGACUAGGGAUCGG